rnacentral:rRNA from 1 species
AGCCUUCAGCAAUCCAAGUAUUGAAGGUGAUGCCUGCCCAGUGACCCCCCAGUUCAACGGCCGCGGUAUCCUAACCGUGCGAAGGUAGCGCAAUCAAUUGUCCCAUAAAUCGAGACUUGUAUGAAUGGCUAAACGAGGCCUUAACUGUCUCCUGCAGAUAGUCAGUGAAAUUGAUCCUCCCGUGCAAAAGCAGGAAUAGGCACAUAAGACGAGAAGACCCUGUGGAACUUAAAAAUCAACAGCCACCACCACACAGAUACACACCUACCAGGCCCACAGUCAAAGUUAAGUACUGGCCUGUAUUUUUUGGUUGGGGCGACCUUGGAGAAAAGAGAAACCUCCAAAAACAAGACCACCCAUCUUAACCAAGAGCAACCCCUCAACGUACUAACAGUAACCAGACCCAAUAAAAUUGAUCAAUGGACCAAGCUACCCCAGGGAUAACAGCGCAAUCUCUCCCAAGAGCCCCUAUCGACGGAGGGGUUUACGACCUCGAUGUUGGAUCAGGACAUCCUAAUGGUGCAGCCGCUAUUAAGGGUUCGUUUGUUCAACGAUUAACAGUCCU